GCAGAGAAGAAGAAAACAACUGUGGGAGUGAGAUUUCUUUCUGACAAGGAAAGAAAAACCAAAGGAGGAAGAAAAAAUAAAACGCUUCUGGGGGAUUAAGAGUACUGAAUAAGUGAGAAAUACUCAGGGAGGCUCAAAAUGAAAUAACAGGAAAUCAUUCCAGGGGCUGAAAAACACUUAGGCCAGGAGAGAGAGUCUCCUCCCUCAGCCUUUCCAGGCUUCUCCCAGAGGGAUGUGUUUUGAGUCCGAAGCUUGUCCGGUUCUGGCGAAGGGUGCCUGCUGGGCGAGUGCAGCGAGGAGACGGCCGCUGGUGUGUGAAGCGGAGGAGCGGCUUUGAUCUUAGGACUGUUGUCUGGAAUGUCCUGAAUUAGGGCUAUUAGUGAUCAUUUCCUCUGAGAAGUCCUAUUUCAGAACGUUCUUCUCUCGAAUUUCCUGGCUACUAACAGCUUCCUCUUCAUGCUGCCUUUAUAGCUUUUUCAAGAGGCUAAAGAAAAGAAUGUGAGGACUCCAGGCUCUUCUUCAUCAGCAUCUUCUAGCUGCUGUUAAUCGUCGUCGCAUCCUGCUAGGCACACGGCUGCUCCCUCAGUUCUCAGAGCACCUGAACGUCACAAAACGCCCGUGUUGACCGAUUCCUAGGAAGAGAAAAGCGUGUUGCCAGGAAGACUUAUUCACGUUCGAGUCUUGCCUCCAAAUGCAGUCUUUGAUUAAAUUUCCUGGGGAAAUGUGUGUAGAGGACCAUCCCGCAGAGACAGACAGAAGGACCACCUGCUGAGACGGACACGGGUUUGUUUUCGGAGCUCCAGCUGAGCGCCCUGCCAGCCUGGGCACGGUGGGGAGGGUUUCCCUCUCGUCUCAGCAGCGAACGUGUCUCCCGGGGACAGUCCGCUCAGUGUCGGGGGACAGGGAGGAAUGCAUCUGCGGGGCUUGAGGGUCUGACGGCUGACGUGCGCAUAGGAGGCGGGCAGCACAAAGCCCAGCGUCUCUGUCCUCCUGCGCGAGGCUGGAACGUGGCGGGGGCAGCUUCCUGUUGAGGCCCCAGAAGCCGUUGCGUUGGGGGACAGUUCAGGAGGAGAAGCCAUCGGAUUGGACCAAGGAGAUCCUGGGUUCUGCCAAAUCUAGCAAGGGGGCAGCUGAGCUGGCGGACGUUUACCUUUAAGUGUGAUGGUACCGGCCCCCAAAUGUUCUGGAGUGACUUGGCCCUGCAGACAUUUCCUGUGCAGGAUGAAGGAGCUGAACCAGAACAUGGACUGAGACAGCAGGCUGCUUCACUCACUCCGCCAGAAGCCAGAACAUAAGAAAUUUCACUCUGGACAGCGCCUGAUUAGAAAUCCAUGAAGCGCAGUCAGUAUGAGAAGACAGGGCAAGUCGCUCUGCCCACCGGUGAGGACAAGCUUUAAUCGCUUCCCUCAAACGAGGGUUUUGUCACAUUUCCGUCCAAACUUCUACAGAGACAAACUCAAGUCGGGGAAGUUUGAGAGAACUUUCUCCAGGAGUUACAGUGGAGGAGACGACUUUGACGUAUGGCUUAAGAAGAGUCACUGCCCGGCCCCACCUUCUGCAGGGGCCCCAGGCUGCUGCCAUAUUUAGACCCGAGACGUUUCCACCGGAAAACAGACCUAGUCCCGUAUUCUUUUUGCUCCACAUUCUCUUUAGUGAGUGGGAGGUGGGGUCCUGUCCCAGUUCUUCAAGGCUCCAGGUUCCAGACCCUCUCAAUUCGCUUUCUCCAGGAAAUAGCCUGUCGCCGCCUCCGGGGGUGGCGGGCGGGCCUGGGUGGCCCAGAAAGCAGAGCCUGAGGAGGAGGGUGCGAGGUCUGGGACUUUGCUGGAGAGCAAUCCCAGGAGCGGGAGGGAGGGGCACAGGAAAGGGCUGGGGCGGGCAGGGCCAAAUGAGGGGGCACUAUUGAUCUGCCCACCGGGACAAGUGAAUGACCACUUGGUCUCCCGGGACCACCCUCUGGUCCAGGGCAAGUAAGCGUGUGAACUGUGAUCAGGGCCAUCGAUGGGGCAGUGUGGAGAGGGUGGGAGAAUUGAUCUCCUGUUUCAUUCCUCUUGUUGAUUGAAGAAUUGUCCCCAGCCCCUCCCCCCGUGUUGCCCUUCCUGCCUUUGGGCUGUGGAUGUGUGGGCGGCAGCAAGGUCCCGCAGCAUCGCACAUCCCUGGGCCCCAGAGAAGCCCCGGGCAGGGCCUAGAACUGUGUUCUGCCGCCCAGGCCAAGUGGUGUUAGGGGGCCCACACCCGAGGGUGGUCCGGGCUCAGAGAGGUGGUUGUGGUUCAGUGGCUGGAAGGAGAAGGCAGGUGGGCUCAGAGUAACUAGGAGGGGUCUGGUGAUGGGGGGGGGGGGGGCCCACGCAGCUGUUCUGCCCUUUCCUGUUGUCAGCCCCUUUCUCACAUCCACCUGAGCACACAGGUGUCCCUCAUUCCUGACGUUUUCUGGAGUUCUGCUGGGAGGCUGGGCCUGCUGCUCCACUGGCCCCGCUGCUGUCCUCUGGGUUUGACCCGCCGCCUCGUGGGAAUUCCUCCCAUCACAUCGUGGGGUUAGCGCUGCAGCUGUUUCUCACCUCAAUUGGAGACAGAGUUUUUCUUGUUCUUUUUCUGGGGCGAUCAGCCGUGUCGGUUUGCUUGACUGUCCCAGACUCGGCAGCUGAAAGUUCAGCGUCCUGGGAAGCCUGAGUCCCGGGAAAACCAGCACGGUUGGUCACCUUACAUUGUUUCAGGGUGAUUCUAUUUUCUUUUUAGAAAAGGGCUUAAAUACCUUUAUUCAACCAUCUUAACCUGAAAGUCCGGUCAAUUCAAUUGUUCAUGGUGAUUUUUGUUUUUCUCUAACUCUUCAUUAUUAACUUAGAGUUGGGAGAAACCGUUAGGAACUGUUAAGCAGACACAAGUUUAAGCCACAACCGGAGAGAAGUAUUUGAAUUACCAGAAGGACAGUCUGCCAGAAAAUCAUCCCUCAGUAGAUAUAUUAGAUAUCUGAGGGUGUAUUAAAGCUUAUUUCACUGAAAGAUUUUGUUUUAUGAAUCAAGUUAUCCUUCGGAUAUAAUGAUUUUGUGAAAUGACUUUGAAGAUAAAAGUCCCAUAUUAACUGUUACCAUUAAUUAUAGUCAUUAUUAAUUCUUUAUAAACUCUAUUUUUUAUAUUAGGGUUCUCCAGAGAACCAAUUUUAUAUAUAUAUAUAUAUAUAUAUAUAUAUACACACACAUGCAUAUGUGUGGGGAGAGAGAGAGAGAUUUAUGAUUUUUUUAUAAUGAAGUGACUUAUGCCAUUUUGGGGGCUGAGCCCCACAAUCUGCUGUCUCCCAGCUGGAGACCCAGCAAGGCCAGUGGUGUAUUUUUGGUCUGAGUCAGAAGGCCUGGGACCCAGGAGAGCCUGUGUUGUGAGCUCUAGCCCAAGUCUGAAGGAGGACCAGAGUGUAAAUUCCAGUGCGAGGGCAGGAGAAGACUGAUGUCUCAGCUCCCGAGUCAGGCACAGUUCUCCAUCCUCCACCUUCUGUUCUGUUCAGGUCCUCAGCAGGUUGGGUGAGGCCCCCCACGCUGGGGAGACCAGUCUGCUUUAUGGGACCGUCCACUGAUUCAGAUGCUAAUCUUAUCUGGAAUGCCCCGAGAGACACAUCCAAAAUAACAUUUAGCUGAUGUCUGGACACCGUGUGGCCAAGUCAGGUUGAUGCAUAAAAUUAGCCCCACGCUUUCAUGUUCUGUUAUGUCUCGUGCUAUCUUUGCAUUGUCUUCAGCGGUUUCUCCUUUAUGAGUUGAUUCUGGCAAGUGGCACUGACUCUGAGAGGGGCGUUGGAGACAGCUAAAACAAUGUACCUCCAAAAAGGAUUAUUGCAUUUACAUACACAGAAUACGUUGCAUAUAACAAUCCUUAAAGCAGAGAGUUCAGACAGUAUUUUCAAGUUAAAGAGUUUUGGGCAUAGUUGCAUGUAGCUGUCUGAAAUGGUGCACGCUCUCUCAUCCUUAGAGUCAGAUUCUGGUGCAUAGAAUGGAGAGAACCAGCGAUCAUGCCCCUUGGAGAACUCAGUCUUGGGGAGGCUUGUUCACAGGGCUGUGAGCCCUUGCUGGAACCAGUGAUUAGUUAUUUGAGGCAGGUCACAUGCAUGAGACUUCCUAAAGAAUAUAAAAUCUCUAGAGUUAAACUAAUAGAAAAAGAUAGGACAUGUAUCAUGAAAAUAUGAUGAUUUACUGGAAAAAUAUAGAACUCAAGUCAGUAGAGUGAUCCUGAUGGGGAUACUGACCCCAAUCCUGAUGCGAAAAUUGGAAUAUCUUUAAAGUAGAAAAUUACUGAAUUGAUUUGUAUUUUAUCACAUUUCUAACUCAAAUUCCAAUCAGUUUGUGUUUUCAAUUCUGAAAAUUAACUUUACUGUUCUUUGGAAAAAUUAAGACCAAAAAAAGAGAAUUUUUAGAAAGUAUGUCUUAUGAAAAGUGCAUGUAACACUAAAUAUUAAAAUUUUAAACUGUGCAAUAAUUAAAACACAUUGAAUAGAAAAA